GACGAACGCUGGCGGCGUGCUUAACACAUGCAAGUCGAACGGAAAGGCCCUGCUUUUGUGGGGUGCUCGAGUGGCGAACGGGUGAGUAACACGUGAGUAACCUGCCCUUGACUUUGGGAUAACUUCAGGAAACUGGGGCUAAUACCGGAUAGGAGCUCCUGCUGCAUGGUGGGGGUUGGAAAGUUUCGGCGGUUGGGGAUGGACUCGCGGCAUAUCAGCUUGUUGGUGGGGUAGUGGCUUACCAAGGCUUUGACGGGUAGCCGGCCUGGGAGGGGGGCCGGCCACAUUAGGACUGAGAUACGGCCCAGACUCCUACGGGAGGCAACGGUGGAGAAUAUUGCACAGUGGGCGGAAGCCUGAUGCAGCACCGCCGCGUGCGGGAUACCGGCCUUCGGGUUGUAAACCGCUUUCGCCUGUGACGAAGCGUGAGUGACGGUAAUGGGUAAAGAAGCACCGGCUAACUACGUG
rnacentral:rRNA from 1 species